UACGUAGGGUGCGAGCGUUGUCCGGAAUUAUUGGGCGUAAAGGGCUCGUAGGCGGUUUGUCGCGUCGGGAGUGAAAACUCAGGGCUUAACCCUGAGCCUGCUUCCGAUACGGGCAGACUAGAGGUAUGCAGGGGAGAACGGAAUUCCUGGUGUAGCGGUGAAAUGCGCAGAUAUCAGGAGGAACACCGGUGGCGAAGGCGGUUCUCUGGGCCGAUACUGACGCUGAGGAGCGAAAGCGUGGGGAGCGAACAGG
rnacentral:rRNA from 1 species